rnacentral:lncRNA from 1 species
GCCACAUGAUGAUGAUGAGGUCUCCAUGUGCGUAAAGCCUGGAAUUGCUGUUGCAAAUGAAACAGUGAGCUGGCUGCAGACAGACAGACAGACAGACAGACAGACAGAGAGAGAGAGAGAGAGAGAGAGAGAGAGAGAGAGAGAGAGAGAGAAAGGCUGAAUAAAAUGAGAGGUACUUACAGUCUGCUAUUGUGGCACCUGCGAACCCCUCCAACCCCUGGUUCCAGAGGGCAGCUAUCAAGUUACAUCUGUCAAUAAUGACCCCAUUAUUCUUUCCUAGGAGGAUGAAGAGGAGGAGAACAGCAAACCUGGGGAUCCUCAUCUCAACAGUGAAAGCUACGCAAGCACAGCCUAGGUGCUCUGUGUUCCAUCCGGGACCUUCUCCUGCAACAUAAUCUCCCCAAGACUCACAACAAGCAACGAUGGCACCAAGACUUUACUUUCGUACUUUAGGUAGUACUUCCAAGAAGUUGUGACAAUGUUUUAUAAUUGCAACUACUAGUUAUUUAAAGUUUUCUAUUUUAAAAAGCCAGAAGCAACAUUUAGAUUUGCUUCCAGACUAGGAAUACGGUUGCUGUCCCUCUUCAACCCUGCCUAUAAAUAUUAUAUAAAGAAAGGUACUCAAAGGCAGAAAAGCCUCUGAAUAUCAGUCACUUGUCUUUUGUGGUCUGUCUGGCAACUUCUUGAAGUCAUCUGAGCAGCUGCUGUGGGAAACAGGAUGUGGGAAUAGAUAGAUCUUUUAGAGCAGGAUA